rnacentral:tRNA from 1 species
GGAUUCUGGCUCAGUGGCAGAGUGCUUGCCUAGCAUGUGUGAGGCACUGGGUUCAAUUCUCAGCACCA